CGCCCUGGCAGCCAGCCGGUCCCCCGCGGGGCGACGUUAUUUAAGCUGGACUAAAAGGCACAAAACACCAGGAAAAUACGCCUUUCCCCCCCGUCCCCAGCCUCCGAAUCGCGGGCAAAUCUCGCCUGAAGUAACAGAGCCGGGGACGAGGUUAAAAGAGGGGCUUGCCCUUAGCGGUAGUGCGGUGAAUGAGAGGCGGGCGGCCGUUGGGGGGAGGAGAGGGGAUUGAGCGCUGUUAAAAUUUAGGCCGAACACUUGGGUACAGAGCAUAAGUUUCCAGGAAAUGAGAGGUUUGUGAGCCAUGAGACUGUCCUGGCUCUGUGGAGACCUGUGGAAGACAACUGAGAGAAGUCCGAUAUCAGGAGGGUUGCUUUUGCUAUACGGGGUAUAUGAAACAAUCUGACGGUCUGAAAUAUUUUAAAGAGGUACAGCUUCCAUCUGAGAAGGUUGGAAACUGGGUCAUAAAGGGAUGCCAUCUUAUGACUUUUGUAAGGUACACCUCGUUUUGGAGGACUUGCGCUAUGUUUCAGCCUCUGAAAGCUUGGAGUUGUGUUACAACUUUAACAUCAUUUUUGAUGAAUCUGUUUCAUGGCAACUUCUGCCAUAUUUGCUCCUGAUUAAAAAUAUAACAUAAGAAGAUUUGAAGGCAUUUAUGAAUACUUUAUCAUGGUGAGUGUAAAAUCCUUGAAAGAGGGCGGAGGCACUUACCACGUUCUUGACUUUGCAAGUGGUCUAAGUGUUAUCCUAUAGAACCUACAUCCAUAAACUUCACGUGGAUACAACUAAGGCCUUAGGAAAGUGUUGCUGAGUCUGAUCUCUUGUGACUUUAUCUUGCCCCAUCUCUUUAACAUAAUUGAGUCUGAUUAAGUUGCCCUUGAGUUCCACCUUCAUACAUCAUCUUAAACUCACCGGGGAGGUUCUUGCCCCUGAACUGCCAGUGGGACCGCUUCAUCCCUUUCUGUUGGAGUCCUGCUGUAUCAUUAUCUGAAGCGUUAUCUAACACCUUUUUGUUCAGCACUUAAAAGCAAUGUGGUUCCCCCUCUGCAAUUUUCCACUUUUGUAUUACCUUCAUUUUGCCCUUGAGCUGUUGGAUGAAAUCUGAGUUUUUUGUCCAUCUUUCCAGUUGCCAGGAAAUCAGCACACUGGAAAAUAGUGCCCUCAUUUAGUAAAUAAAAUGCGCACACAGCACCUGUAGAUGAUUUGU
rnacentral:lncRNA from 1 species